UUUCGGCCGCCGAACCUGCCGCAGAAAGUGCCCUGUUCAGCCAUUUCUUGCAUGUUUUCAUGUGAUGUUUUCAGGAUGUUUUAGGGGGUUUUUGGGGAGUAUUUUAGAGUCAUAUUCAGGUAUGUUUGGUCCAGAGGUGAGUGGAAUAAACUUUAAGUUUUAAAGCAAAUUAAUGAAAUGUUUUAGCAUGAUUCACGCAUCAUGAAUGCCAUGAGAUAUAUUAGGUUGUUUGCAUUAGAAUUCACGAAUAUGUUGCAUUGCAUACUUUGUUGUUGAUGUGGAUGAAUGUUGAAUGAUCCAUUAGCCCUUGUAUGUCAUGAUGGCCUAUGUGAGUCCAGGUGUGCCUGCUACGGCUCUACGCCCCUGGCACUAUGACAGAUUAUGGAAGUCCGGGUGUGCCUGCUACGGCUCUACGCCCCCGGCAUGUAUAAGUAAGAAAGAUAGGGGCUAAAUGGUGACAAGUUCAUCCUUGUUGUGAAAUGUUUGUGUUAUGGCGCAUACAUGAAAGCAUGAUUUAAAUUGAUGUUUUAUUAUUCUGCUCACUGGGCUCUAGUAGCUCACCCCACUCCCUUUAUCCCCAGAGUUGCAGGUACAGGAUAGAUCAGGAGGUCGGCUAGAGUGAAGUUCAGUCAUGUAUGUUGUAAUAGAUAGUAGUGGACAUGAAC
rnacentral:lncRNA from 1 species